GGUUAAGCGACUAAGCGUACACGGUGGAUGCCCUGGCAGUCAGAGGCGAUGAAGGACGUGCUAAUCUGCGAUAAGCGCCGGUAAGGUGAUAUGAACCGUUAUAACCGGCGAUUUCCGAAUGGGGAAACCCAGUGUGAUUCGUCACACUAUCAUUACGUGAAUACAUAGCGUAAUGAAGCGAACCGGGGGAACUGAAACAUCUAAGUACCCCGAGGAAAAGAAAUCAACCGAGAUUCCCCCAGUAGCGGCGAGCGAACGGGGAGGAGCCCAGAGCCUGAAUCAGCAUGUGUGUUAGUGGAAGCGUCUGGAAAGGCGCGCGAUACAGGGUGACAGCCCCGUACACAAAAGCGCAUGUGCUGUGAGCUCGAUGAGUAGGGCGGGACACGUGGUAUCCUGUCUGAAUAUGGGGGGACCAUCCUCCAAGGCUAAAUACUCCUGACUGACCGAUAGUGAACCAGUACCGUGAGGGAAAGGCGAAAAGAACCCCGGCGAGGGGAGUGAAAAAGAACCUGAAACCGUGUACGUACAAGCAGUGGGAGCCCCACCACUAAGCCAGUGGUGAACUCCACAUACGCAUCCUUUGCUGAGGAUACGGUUAACGGAGCGAAAGCGACGUUCAACCGCAAAAGAAGCAGAGGGGGCUUAGUGGUGGGGUGACUGCGUACCUUUUGUAUAAUGGGUCAGCGACUUAUAUUCUGUAGCAAGGUUAACCGAAUAGGGGAGCCGCAGGGAAACCGAGUCUUAAUUGGGCGUUAAGUUGCAGGGUAUAGACCCGAAACCCGGUGAUCUAGCCAUGGGCAGGUUGAAGGUUGGGUAACACUAACUGGAGGACCGAACCGACUAAUGUUGAAAAAUUAGCGGAUGACCUGUGGCUGGGGGUGAAAGGCCAAUCAAACCGGGAGAUAGCUGGUUCUCCCCGAAAGCUAUUUAGGUAGCGCCUCGUGAAUUCAUCUCCGGGGGUAGAGCACUGUUUCGGCUAGGGGGCCAUCCCGGCUUACCAACCCGAUGCAAACUGCGAAUACCGGAGAAUGUUAUCACGGGAGACACACGGCGGGUGCUAACGUCCGUCGUGAAGAGGGAAACAACCCAGACCGCCAGCUAAGGUCCCAAAGUCAUGGUUAAGUGGGAAACGAUGUGGGAAGGCCCAGACAGCCAGGAUGUUGGCUUAGAAGCAGCCAUCAUUUAAAGAAAGCGUAAUAGCUCACUGGUCGAGUCGGCCUGCGCGGAAGAUGUAACGGGGCUAAACCAUGCACCGAAGCUGCGGCAGCGACGCUGAUGCGUUGUUGGGUAGGGGAGCGUUCUGUAAGCCUGUGAAGGUGUGUCGUGAGGCAUGCUGGAGGUAUCAGAAGUGCGAAUGCUGACAUAAGUAACGAUAAAGCGGGUGAAAAGCCCGCUCGCCGGAAGACCAAGGGUUCCUGUCCAACGUUAAUCGGGGCAGGGUGAGUCGACCCCUAAGGCGAGGCCGAAAGGCGUAGUCGAUGGGAAACGGGUUAAUAUUCCCGUACUUGGUGUUACUGCGAAGGGGGGACGGAGAAGGCUAUGUUGGCCGGGCGACGGUUGUCCCGGUUUAAGCGUGUAGGUGUGUGUUCCAGGUAAAUCCGGUUCACUUUAACACUGAGGCGUGAUGACGAGGCACUACGGUGCUGAAGCAACAAAUGCCCUGCUUCCAGGAAAAGCCUCUAAGCAUCAGGUAACAUCAAAUCGUACCCCAAACCGACACAGGUGGUCAGGUAGAGAAUACCAAGGCGCUUGAGAGAACUCGGGUGAAGGAACUAGGCAAAAUGGUGCCGUAACUUCGGGAGAAGGCACGCUGACACGUAGGUGAAGUGAUUUACUCACGGAGCUGAAGUCAGUCGAAGAUACCAGCUGGCUGCAACUGUUUAUUAAAAACACAGCACUGUGCAAACACGAAAGUGGACGUAUACGGUGUGACGCCUGCCCGGUGCCGGAAGGUUAAUUGAUGGGGUCAGCGCAAGCGAAGCUCCUGAUCGAAGCCCCGGUAAACGGCGGCCGUAACUAUAACGGUCCUAAGGUAGCGAAAUUCCUUGUCGGGUAAGUUCCGACCUGCACGAAUGGCGUAAUGAUGGCCAGGCUGUCUCCACCCGAGACUCAGUGAAAUUGAACUCGCUGUGAAGAUGCAGUGUACCCGCGGCAAGACGGAAAGACCCCGUGAACCUUUACUAUAGCUUGACACUGAACAUUGAGCCUUGAUGUGUAGGAUAGGUGGGAGGCUUUGAAGUGUGGACGCCAGUCUGCAUGGAGCCGACCUUGAAAUACCACCCUUUAAUGUUUGAUGUUCUAACGUGGACCCGUAAUCCGGGUUGCGGACAGUGUCUGGUGGGUAGUUUGACUGGGGCGGUCUCCUCCUAAAGAGUAACGGAGGAGCACGAAGGUUGGCUAAUCCUGGUCGGACAUCAGGAGGUUAGUGCAAUGGCAUAAGCCAGCUUGACUGCGAGCGUGACGGCGCGAGCAGGUGCGAAAGCAGGUCAUAGUGAUCCGGUGGUUCUGAAUGGAAGGGCCAUCGCUCAACGGAUAAAAGGUACUCCGGGGAUAACAGGCUGAUACCGCCCAAGAGUUCAUAUCGACGGCGGUGUUUGGCACCUCGAUGUCGGCUCAUCACAUCCUGGGGCUGAAGUAGGUCCCAAGGGUAUGGCUGUUCGCCAUUUAAAGUGGUACGCGAGCUGGGUUUAGAACGUCGUGAGACAGUUCGGUCCCUAUCUGCCGUGGGCGCUGGAGAACUGAGGGGGGCUGCUCCUAGUACGAGAGGACCGGAGUGGACGCAUCACUGGUGUU
rnacentral:rRNA from 1 species